rnacentral:pre_miRNA from 1 species
AAUGUACUCCCUCCGUCUGGAAAUACUUGUCAUCAAAAUGGAUAAAAAGAUAUGUAUCUAGAACUAAAAUACAUCUAGAUACAUCCCCUUUUAUCUAUUUUGAUAACAAGUAUUUCCGGACGGAGGGAGUAAAUA